rnacentral:rRNA from 1 species
UUUAUAAUUUUGUAUAUCGUUGUUAUAAAAAUAUUUUUUAAUGAAAUUAAUAUUUAAAAAUUAAAAUAUAAAUUUAAAUCAGAUCAAGAUGCAGUUUAUAAUUAAGAAUAUAAUGGAUUACAAUAAAUUUAUUUAAAUGGAUUUUAAUUUUUAAUAAUUAAUUGAAGGUGGAUUUAAAUGUAAUUUUAUUUAAUUUAAUAAAAUGAUUAAAAAUUAAAAUAUGU